rnacentral:rRNA from 1 species
GACGAACGCUGGCGGCGUGCUUAACACAUGCAAGUCGAACGGAAAGGCCCUGCUUUUGUGGGGUGCUCGAGUGGCGAACGGGUGAGUAACACGUGAGUAACCUGCCCUUGACUUUGGGAUAACUUCAGGAAACUGGGGCUAAUACCGGAUAGGAGCUCCUGCUGCAUGGUGGGGGUUGGAAAGUUUCGGCGGUUUGGGAUGGACUCGCGGCUUAUCAGCUUGUUGGUGGGGUAGUGGCUUACCAAGGCUUUGACGGGUAGCCGGCCUGAGAGGGUGACCGGCCACAUUGGGACUGAGAUACGGCCCAGACUCCUACGGGAGGCAGCAGUCGGGAAUAUUGCACAAUGGGCGGAAGCCUGAUGCAGCAACGCCGCGUGCGGGAUGACGGCCUUCGGGUUGUAAACCGCUUUCGCCUGUGACGAAGCGUGAGUGACGGUAAUGGGUAAAGAAGCACCGGCUAACUACGUG